rnacentral:rRNA from 1 species
UACGGGGGGAGCAAGCGUUGUUCGGAUUUACUGGGCGUAAAGGGCGCGUAGGCGGUCAGCACAAGUCAGUUGUGAAAUCUCCGGGCUUAACCCGGAAAGGUCAACUGAUACUGUGCGACUAGAGUGCGGGAAGGGGGCAACUGGAAUUCUCGGUGUAGCGGUGAAAUGCGUAGAUAUCGAGAGGAACACCAAUUGCGAAGGCAGCUCGCUGGGACGUGACUGACGCUGAGACGCGGAAAGCGUGGGGAGCAAACAG